rnacentral:rRNA from 1 species
GACGAACGCUGGCGGCGUGCUUAACACAUGCAAGUCGAACGGAAAGGCCCUGCUUUUGUGGGGUGCUCGAGUGGCGAACGGGGGAGUAACACGUGAGUAAACUGCCCUUGACUUUGGGAUAACUUCAGGAAACUGGGGCUAAUACCGGGUAGGAGCUCCUGCUGCAUGGUGGGGGUUGGAAAGAUUCGGCGGUUGGGGAUGGACUCGCGGCUUAUCAGCUUGUUGGUGGGGUAGUGGCUUACCAAGGCUUUGAAGGGUAGCCGGCCUUAGAGGGUGACCGGCCACAUUGGGACUGAGAUACGGCCCAGACUCCUACGGGAGGCAGCAGUGGGGAAUAUUGCACAAUGGGCGGAAGCCUGAGGCAGCAACGCCGCGUGCGGGAUGACGGCCUUCGGGUUGUAAACCGCUUUCGCCUGUGACGAAGCGUGAGUGACGGUAAUGGGUAAAGAAGCACCGGCUAACUACGUG